GCCGUUGUAGUAUAAUGGUAUAAUAUACUGGCUCUCUAAGCUAGAGAUGCACGGUUCGAAUCCUGCCAACGGAA
rnacentral:tRNA from 1 species